rnacentral:lncRNA from 1 species
GAAUAAGAGACAAAAAGGCAGAGAAUACUGAAGACAUGAGAGUCAUAGCAACAACCUUGGCGAUACGGCAACAUUAUAUCCGUCAAGUCUGCCAGCACUGUUACCAUUCCAGCAGGGACACUAAGUGUCUAGUGUCCUUAAUUUGGGGGCAGCUGAAUCUAGUGCUCCGAGGUCUAAGCAGUGGUGGUUCCCUAGGCUGAUCCCAUGACAUAUUUUCCUUGUGGUUCUGAAGCUGAGAAGACUUUAAACUACUCUCAACAUUUGCAGCAGUUUGGUGCUAACAUCAUCUCUAGUUUAUAACUGAGGAAACGCACGUGUAAAAAUAUAAAGUGAUUGUCCCACAUACUAUAGUGAAUGAGAGUGGAGCUGUGAUUUCAACCCAAGAGCCUGACUGCAGAGCG